UCCUCAACUAGAAGGCUGAAGAAUGGAGGCGAAAGAACCGCAAUUUCGACCUCUUUCACCUUCUCAAGUCUGCCCCUACUCCAACUAACUCAAUCGUCGUCAGCGGAGGAAAAUUCCCAGAAACCCUAAUACCGGCACCAUUGAUUGAACUUCAAAAUUCGUCGCAUACAUCGUCAAUCCUCUGAAAUCGAAGAAAACGCUGACGUUGGUUCGGUAGUCGAAGCGAGUGAAAUCUCCGCGCCAGGAGGAGACGGUUUGUACGACUACAUCGAACCCGAAGGUUGCAAGACAUGCACCCUCCUUUGAACAAUUUAAUCCUAGUAGAUAGGGAGCUAUUUUAGUAGUGUACUUGUCCUUUGGAGUACGAUAGAUUGAGCGAAUUCUUUUAAAUUAAUUAUAUUGCUAUUAUUGCAUUAUAUUUUAUGUUGUUAUGGACGCCUUAAUGAGCCUUAGAGUCUAACCAACUUAGGAUAAAAUUUGAGAAACAUUUAAACAAACUGUUAAUUAUUUAACAUGCUAUCUAUUUAAUAUGGAUAUUAUUACUGCAUAUGAAAACAUGCUUAUGGAACUAUUUAUGGCUAUAUGCUAAGAACUGUUGACACCGCUUGUGAGCGGGUGGUACACAUGAUAGAGUUCAUGUGUUUGGUUUCAUGGACCUGUUUAUGGUCGUGAUGGAUAUGUGGAUAUAUUUAUGGUUAUUUCUUAUUUAAAAUUGAUAUAAUAAUCAACCCCCUUGUGUCAAUAAGAAUGACAUAGUUUCGCCCAUCCACACGAUCGAUUUGUCAAACCUAGCCGUAUAUUGCUCCAAUUGAUUGAACUUCUACAGGCCUUUCGGUGUACUGGCCAUUAGCUUUCAAGUGUGUGAAGCAAAGUGACAUGGUUCAUGUUUAUAUGAUUUAUAUAUGUGGGCUCGAUGGGCCCCGAGAGUUCAAAACUACCCUAUGGGUCCACGAAGUUCUGGGCUGCCCAUCGAGUAACGAACAAUGGUAAGUGGAUGCGGAGGUAGGUUGGCACACACCUCGGACCGGAUCACUCCGAGCAACAUCCCGAGCAUCCUUUAACUUACUAGGCAGAAGGGAGAGAUAUAUGUAGCAAUAUUACACCUUGUUACUUUUCAGCCCGGCCAGCUGUGGGUAUCAUGUGGGUCAAGCUGCGCAGACGCUACAGAGUCGUUGAGUAUUCAAAUAUGCCGUGCUCCCGGUUAAUGGAGAUGUGUCUAUGGGUGAUUCCAGAUUAUGGGCACAAGUUAAACUAAAUGGCUAUUAAUUAAUAUAGUUAACUUAUUUAUAUUACUUUAUGUUCUAUUCAAGUUAUUUAUAAGUAACAUUUAUACUUUUAUGCUCAUUAUUAUUGUUUAAAUUAAAUGUUCAAUAGUGUUGUUUAUAUCAAAUGUUUAUUAAGUUAGGCUCUAUGAAAUAACUGUUAAGGUUAGGGUUUAAACCUUCCAGCUCUCGAUACUGCAAGUUUUAUAUUGCAAUUAUUGUAUUUAUUAUCAUAAGCAUGUCUUGCUGAGUACCUUUUGUACUCAUAAAUGGGAUCAGAUCAUGAGGAGGAAGAUGCUUGUGGAGAACCUGUUGAUCUGUUAGAGUGGGACAGCUAUGGUUUCUAGGUCAUCAUAUGCUUAGGCAGUUCCUGUGGUGAAGUCUAGCAGUUUAUUUGUUUGUAGAAAUAAAGCUUUAUAGGCCAUAUAUGUAAUGGUUUGUAUUUAUGUUGUGUUGUGAACUAAGUGACUUAAGUAUUGUAUAAUCGAAGGUUAUGCUUUUAUAUCAUUUCAUGCGUAACUGAACAUCCUGGGCAGUUACUUAUUCGUGGGGCACCAUGACUUUAUCGGGUGUCCCCACAAUAGCCCUUUUAGACCUUCCGAUCUCCCUGUCAUCCAAGUAAAAGGGAAAAAACUUGUGUUAAAGUAUACCGGAGCCCACAUUUCUUUUGCUUCCCACAAGUUAUUCAAAGUUUGGUUUCCAUGGAGGUCAUAUUCAUCUAGCAUUUUUUUCAAAUAUGAUAGAAGCUGAUCUAUUGUUUCAAUCAUAUAUGCAUCUACACAGAGCUUCAAGGAAGCCUUUCUUUGAAGUAUACACGGGUAGGAGUUGCUGAUCUGCUUUUGUUGUCACGUGCCAAAAGCAACAUCUAUGAAUUGUACCGGGGAACACCUUUUUAAUCAUUGCUCUCAUUGCUUUAUCUCGGUCUAUCAUCACUGAACCUGACAUCUGUCCAUUCAUUGCUCGCAUCCAUGUUUCAAAGACCCAUAUGAAUGUUUCAGUUGUUUCAUCACAAAUCAAAGCAUAUCCAAGCAAUAUUGUUUGCAGGUGGUUAUUAAUUCCAA